CGAACGGGUGCGUAACACGUGAGAAUCUACCCAUAGCUUAUGGUUAAAUGCCAUAGAAUCUUAUAGAUUUAGAUAUAUAUCGGUUAUGGAUGAGCUUGCGGGGUAUUAGGUAGUUGGUGUGGUAAUGGCGCACCAAGCCCAAGAUGCCUAGCCGGUUUGAGAGAACGAUCGGCCACACUGGGACUGAGACACGGCCCAGACGCUUACGAGCGGCAGCAGUGGGGAAUAUUGGACAAUGGGCGAAAGCCUGAUCCAGUGAUAUCGCUUUGGGGAUGACGGCGACAUACGUUGUAAACCCAAUGAAGUACGUUUAGAUUAU
rnacentral:rRNA from 1 species